UAGAGUCGCACAUGCUUGUAUCAGGU
rnacentral:piRNA from 1 species